rnacentral:rRNA from 1 species
CACUAUCGUUAACUGAAUACAUAGGUUAACGAGGCGAACCGGGGGAACUGAAACAUCUAAGUACCCCGAGGAAAAGAAAUCAACCGAGAUUCCCCCAGUAGCGGCGAGCGAACGGGGAGCAGCCCAGAGUCUGAAUCAGCUUGUGUGUUAGUGGAACGGUCUGGAAAGUCCGACGGUACAGGGUGAUAGUCCCGUACACCAAAAUGCACAGGCUGUGAACUCGAAGAGUAGGGCGGGACACGUGGUAUCCUGUCUGAAUAUGGGGGGACCAUCCUCCAAGGCUAAAUACUCCUGACUGACCGAUAGUGAACCAGUACCGUGAGGGAAAGGCGAAAAGAACCCCGGCGAGGGGAGUGAAAAAGAACCUGAAACCGUGUACGUACAAGCAGUGGGAGCACCUUCGGGUGUGACUGCGUACCUUUUGUAUAAUGGGUCAGCGACUUAUAUUCUGUAGCAAGGUUAACCGUAUAGGGGAGCCGCAGGGAAACCGAGUCUUAACUGGGCGUUAAGUUGCAGGGUAUAGACCCGAAACCCGGUGAUCUAGCCAUGGGCAGGUUGAAGGUUGGGUAACACUAACUGGAGGACCGAACCGACUAAUGUUGAAAAAUUAGCGGAUGACUUGUGGCUGGGGGUGAAAGGCCAAUCAAACCGGGAGAUAGCUGGUUCUCCCCGAAAG